rnacentral:rRNA from 1 species
GAUGAACGCUGGCGGCGUGCUUAACACAUGCAAGUCGAACGGGAAACCUUUUAUUGAAGCUUCGGCAGAUUUAGCUGGUUUCUAGUGGCGGACGGGUGAGUAACGCGUGGGUAACCUGCCUUAUACAGGGGGAUAACAACCAGAAAUGGUUGCUAAUACCGCAUAAGCGCACAGGACCGCAUGGUCCGGUGUGAAAAACCCCGGUGGUAUAAGAUGGACCCGCGUUGGAUUAGCUAGUUGGCAGGGUAACGGCCUACCAAGGCGACGAUCCAUAGCCGGCCUGAGAGGGUGAACGGCCACAUUGGGACUGAGACACGGCCCAGACUCCUACGGGAGGCAGCAGUGGGGAAUAUUGCACAAUGGGGGAAACCCUGAUGCAGCGACGCCGCGUGAAGGAAGAAGUAUCUCGGUAUGUAAACUUCUAUCAGCAGGGAAGAUAGUGACGGUACCUGACUAAGAAGCCCCGGCUAACUACGUG